rnacentral:misc_RNA from 1 species
GAUGAAGAACGUAGCGAAAUGCGAUAAGUAAUGUGAAUUGCAGAAUUCAGUGAAUCAUCGAAUCUUUGAACGCACAUUGCGCCCGCCAGUAUUCUGGCGGGCAUGCCUGUUCGAGCGUCAUUUCAACCCUCAAGCCCCCGGGCUUGGUGUUGGGGAUCGGCGUGCCCUCGCGGCGCGCCGUCCCCUAAAUCUAGUGGCGGUCUCGCUGUAGCUUCCUCUGCGUAGUAGCAACACUCGCACUGAUCGCAGCGCGGCCACGCCGUUAAACCCCCCACUUCUGAAAGUUUGACCUCGGAUCAGGUAGGAAUACCCGCUGAACUUAAGCAUAUCAAUAAGCGGAGGA